CCCUUAGAGUUUGAUCAUGGCUCAGAUUGAACGCUGGCGGCAGGCCUAACACAUGCAAGUCGAGCGGAUGAGAGGAGCUUGCUCUUCGAUUCAGCGGCGGACGGGUGAGUAAUACCUAGGAAUCUGCCUGGUAGUGGGGGACAACGUUUCGAAAGGAACGCUAAUACCGCAUACGUCCUACGGGAGAAAGCAGGGGACCUUCGGGCCUUGCGCUAUCAGAUGAGCCUAGGUCGGAUUAGCUAGUUGGUGAGGUAAUGGCUCACCAAGGCUACGAUCCGUAACUGGUCUGAGAGGAUGAUCAGUCACACUGGAACUGAGACACGGUCCAGACUCCUACGGGAGGCAGCAGUGGGGAAUAUUGGACAAUGGGCGAAAGCCUGAUCCAGCCAUGCCGCGUGUGUGAAGAAGGUCUUCGGAUUGUAAAGCACUUUAAGUUGGGAGGAAGGGUUGUAGAUUAAUACUCUGCAAUUUUGACGUUACCGACAGAAUAAGCACCGGCUAACUCUGUGCCAGCAGCCGCGGUAAUACAGAGGGUGCAAGCGUUAAUCGGAAUUACUGGGCGUAAAGCGCGCGUAGGUGGUUUGUUAAGUUGGAUGUGAAAGCCCCNGGCUCAACCUGGGAACUGCAU
rnacentral:rRNA from 1 species